UGGGGAAUUUUGGACAAUGGGCGAAAGCCUGAUCCAGCAAUGCCGCGUGUGUGAAGAAGGCCUUCGGGUUGUAAAGCACUUUUGUCCGGAAAGAAAUCCUUGGCUCUAAUACAGUCGGGGGAUGACGGUACCGGAAGAAUAAGCACCGGCUAACUACGUGCCAGCAGCCGCGGUAAUACGUAGGGUGCAAGCGUUAAUCGGAAUUACUGGGCGUAAAGCGUGCGCAGGCGGUUUGCUAAGACCGAUGUGAAAUCCCCGGGCUCAACCUGGGAACUGCAUUGGGUGACUGGCAGGCUAGAGUAUGGCAGAGGGGGGUUAGAAUUCCACGUGUAGCAGUGAAAUGCGUAGAGAUGUGGAGGAAUACCGAUGGCGAAGGCAGCCCCCUGGGCCAAUACUGACGCUCAUGCACGAAAGCGUGGGGAGCAAACAGGAUUAGAUACCCUGGUAGUCCACGCCCUAAACGAUGUCAACUAGUUGUUGGGGACUUCAUUUCCUUAGUAACGUAGCUAACGCGUGAAGUUGACCGCCU
rnacentral:rRNA from 1 species